GUCCUGUCAACCCUUUUAGCACGUGUCAAAAACUCAAAGAAAAAGACGAUGACUUUGAAGUCUACAAGUCAUAUUUCUGUGAACGAGUGAACUGGCAACAUGUCGAGCCCGUAAGUAACUAGGUUUUUCCUGUAGAAAUUAUAGCAAGUCACAGUAAAAUCUUGAACACAGAACAACAACAACAAGAGCAGCAGCUGGAUCAAUUGGUUCCUCGGAAUCAAGGGCAACGAGUUCCUCUGCCAUGUGCCCACCAACUACUUUCAGGACACGUUCAACCAGAUGGGCCUGGAGUACUUCAGCCAGCACUGGACGUGAUCCUGAAGCCGGUUUUCGACAGUUCCUCGGGCUUGUUCUACGACGAUGAGAAAAAGUGGUACGGCGUGAUUCACGCCCGAUACAUCAGGUCGGAGCGUGGUGUGAAUGAAUAUGCACCGAAAGUAUGAGAGGAGACUUUGAAUCGUGUCCGAAUAUCUUCCGUAAUAGGAAGAACACCCUGCCAGUGGGCCUCAGCGAUGUGUGGGCCAAGUCAACGGUGAAGAUCUACUGCCCACGCUGUAAAAACUACUUCCAUCCUAAAACUGAUACACAGCCAUGUUCGAGCCCAGAUUCCCGGACAUCUUCUUAACGCAGCUGCCUAACUUGAGACCGCCCCUGGACGACCCACGGUAAGUAAUUCUCCGAAUAUAGUCCUGGUUGUUUUCUAAACAUAGCGCUUGAACUUGCAGUCCCUAUGCUUUCGGUUGCACCAGAAGGCCUUGAUGCCACUUAAAUCGCCCAAGUCUUCACCAAAGAAUAUCGGAUCCUCGGCCAGCUAGUCCUCCUCCUCGCUCCGGCAUUCCGAAGUCAAGCGCUUCAAUGUUCUUUUAGGGAUGACGUGAUUUUUUAACUCUACACAAAAGAAAGCAGAAAUGUUUGUCCGAUAUAUUGUUGUUGCAAUUAAACAGAUUGAUCGUUGAUAUGGCCAGCUACCACCUACUAAUACACCUCAUACACCUCUGCCCUAAAUACUUGGUUCAAAGUGUUCGGUCCAAGCUGGUCAUAUCAAGCACUCAUUCGAGUAGCAAAGCAUACUUUUCGUUAAUAGUGGUAAUCACCUGGGUAUAAUAAUAAUAUUAAUCAAUAAAACAUUCAAUUCAGUUUUUUAUUUAAUUUUAUGUUAAAAGAGUUUCCAAAAGUGUU
rnacentral:lncRNA from 1 species